GACCCUACAAACACCAAGACCUCCGCCUACUCUCCAUUUUUUCUGUCUGAAACUCCAAUUUCAUAAAGACCUCCCAAUGAAACGCUGCGUUUAAUCCUUCUCGUUCCAUACUCGUCUUCGACCUCACAAUAUGGGUUGCUGUCUCAGCAAGAACGGCGAUUCCAAAGCCAGUAGGAUCGGACGGUGGAAAUCCACAGGCAUUGUUGCUCUGCGCGACUCUAAAUUGAAGGCAUUUCCAGAUGAAGUUCUUGAUCUGGAUACAUCUGUCCGCACUCUUGAUUUAACACACAACAGGCUAGUUGACAUUCCUAUGGAGAUCAGCAAAUUGAUUAACAUGCAGCGCCUGAUUCUAGCGGAUAAUCUAAUUGAGCGACUCCCAAUGAAUCUGGGGAAACUUCAAUCUCUGAAAGUUAUGACACUUGAUGGGAAUCAAGUUACUACUCUGCCUGAUGAAUUGGGCAUGCUGGUAAGGCUAGAGCGUCUAUCCAUCUCAGGGAAUUUGUUAACAUGCUUACCUGAGACUAUAGGGAGCUUGCGCAAUUUGUUGCUGUUAAAUGUGUCAAAUAACAAAUUAAAGUGUCUUCCAGAAUCAGUUGGUAGUUGCUUCUCUCUAGAAGAAUUACAAGCGAAUGAUAAUUCUAUUGAAGAUAUCCCCGCAUCAUUUUGCAAUCUCAUUCAUCUAAAAUCACUCUGCUUAAAUAAUAAUAACAUUAACCAGAUACCUCCAAAUCUGUUGAAGGACUGUAAAGCGCUGCAGAAUAUUUCCCUGCACGACAAUCCCAUUUCAAUGGAUCAAUUCCAACAGAUGGAAGGAUUCCAAGCAUUUGAAACUCGGAGGAAAAAGAAGUUUGACAAGCAAAUUGAUUCAAAUGUGAUGAUCAGUUCCAAAGGCCUUGAUGAGGGUGUGGAUCAAUGAAACUUCUGAAUUGGCAUUCCCUAUAACAGAGGUGGGCUUUGGUGGGUGACUGGGUGGGUGGUGAGGUGAGAGAAGGACUAAAAUGACCAGAAUGGGGGCCACUUAAACGUGAGGAAAGUGUGUUGUGUCUGAGCAGCUGCAAAUCCCAUUUAGCUUUGUCCGCAGCUGGGGAUAGAUCAUCUUCAGCAUCCGUGAGUCAUUUGUUACAUAUGGAAUAAAACUUACCCAAACUCAGUUCUGUGGUGAUGUACAUGAUGGAUAGUUUGGUAGUAGAUUUUUCUGUGGUUUGCAGGUUUGUAUAGAAAACAACUGGUUAAAACCAAUUAGAAGAUAAUACCUCUGACCUCAGAUUUUUUGGCUCUUAAGACAGAUGCUAAACUGUAAAUUGGGUUACCGGUUUUCCAAAUCCUAUUGGGUUUAUGAUA